rnacentral:rRNA from 1 species
GACGAACGCUGGCGGCGUGCUUAACACAUGCAAGUCGAACGGAAAGGCCCUGCUUGCAGGGUACUCGAGUGGCGAACGGGUGAGUAACACGUGGGUGAUCUGCCCUGCACUUCGGGAUAAGCUUGGGAAACUGGGUCUAACACCGGAUAGGAGCCAUCUUUAGUGUGGUGGUUGGAAAGUUUUUUCGGUGUAGGAUGAGCUCGCGGCCUAUCAGCUUGUUGGUGGGGUAAUGGCCUACCAAGGCGGCGACGGGUAGCCGGCCUGAGAGGGUGUACGGCCACAUUGGGACUGAGAUACGGCCCAGACUCCUACGGGAGGCAGCAGUGGGGAAUAUUGCACAAUGGGCGCAAGCCUGAUGCAGCGACGCCGCGUGGGGGAUGAAGGCCUUCGGGUUGUAAACUCCUUUCGCUAGGGACGAAGCUUUGUUGUGACGGUACCUAGAGAAGAAGCACCGGCUAACUACGUG